GACGAACGCUGGCGGCGUGCUUAACACAUGCAAGUCGAACGGUGAAGGGACCAGCUUGCUGGUUCUGGAUGAGUGGCGAACGGGUGAGUAACACGUGAGUAACCUGCCCCCUUCUUCUGGAUAACCGCAUGAAAGUGUGGCUAAUACGGGAUAUUCUGGGUCUGUCGCAUGACGGGCCCGGGAAAGAUAUUGCUUCGGUGGGGGAUGGGCUCGCGGCCUAUCAGCUUGUUGGUGGGGUGAUGGCCUACCAAGGCGGUGACGGGUAGCCGGCCUGAGAGGGUGGACGGUCACACUGGGACUGAGACACGGCCCAGACUCCUACGGGAGGCAGCAGUGGGGAAUAUUGCACAAUGGGCGCAAGCCUGAUGCAGCGACGCCGCGUGAGGGAUGGAGGCCUUCGGGGUUGUAAACUCUUUCGCCAGUGAAGCAGGCCUGCUCCUUGUGGGUGGGUUGACGGUAGCUGGAUAAGAAGCGCCGGCUAACUACGUGCCAGCAGCCGCGGUAAUACGUAGGGCGCGAGCGUUGUCCGGAAUUAUUGGGCGUAAAGAGCUCGUAGGCGGCUGGUCGCGUCUGUCGUGAAAUCCUCUGGCUUAACUGGGGGCUUGCGGUGGGUACGGGCCGGCUUGAGUGCGGUAGGGGAGACUGGAACUCCUGGUGUAGCGGUGGAAUGCGCAGAUAUCAGGAAGAACACCGGUGGCGAAGGCGGGUCUCUGGGCCGUUACUGACGCUGAGGAGCGAAAGCGUGGGGAGCGAACAGGAUUAGAUACCCUGGUAGUCCACGCCGUAAACGUUGGGCACUAGGUGUGGGGGGCCUUUUCCGGGUCUUCCGCGCCGUAGCUAACGCAUUAAGUGCCCCGCCUGGGGAGUACGGCCGCAAGGCUAAAACUCA
rnacentral:rRNA from 1 species